UCAGUUCUCAGUGUCUCUAAUCCACAUAGCUGAGGGAUCUCCCUUUCACAGAUUCCAGGAGCUCUGGCCCCUUUGUCACUUAAGUGAUGGGUAACUAAGAGAUUCUCGCCCCUGUUUCUUAUAGUCCAGUAAUAUAUUUAUUUUGAAGUGCAUCCCCAAAUAAGGUUUUUCUCCCCUGCUGUUUGUGCUUCAGGAAGCUGAUGCCAUAUUGUUUGUUCAUCCUCCUGAUACCUUGUUCUUUUGUUGAUCUAAAAUGCAAAUGAAGCAUCCUUUGUGCUGGUUUAACAAUGUUUGAUGCACAACAGUUUCGAAGGCAGACAGAUGUGCUCCCACUACAACACAAACUCAGGAAUUAGCUGGAUGCCCCGCAACAGUGCAUCUUGUGAAGGAAUGAUGCCAUGAGCACCAUCUGGUUCCUGAGCUGGGAGGCAAUAGCUCUUUGCUUCCAAAGAGUGGGGAAACCAU